CCCUUCACUCGCCGAAUGCUGCUGUUCCGCCAUUUUGUUCUCGGCGCGUGGGGAAGUUUCUGGUUGUUUGAAGAUGGCUGCCGCUGUGGGCUUAGACGGACAGACAGACGGAUGGAUAGAUAGGGGCUAGUGAGAGGAGGCGGAAGAAGAAUAAGAAGACGAAUGGGUGAGGAUGUGUCAUGGCGAUGGUACGGAGAGGGGCUGGGCCCGGCGGGAGGUGGUCCAAAUGCUGGACUCUGGUGAGCUUCGCCGUCUUUGUGAUUCUCCUGGGUAUGGGAUCAGGGGAUGAGGGGCUGAAGGGAUGGACGAGUGGACGACUCUGGGUGAUUUAUGGCGUGGAGGGGAGCGAGCCUAAGCCGUUUCGAGCUGCUGAAACAGUGCGUUGGACCGUACCAAGGUGGGGAUCUUGUCUGAAGGCCGCGUUUGGUGCCGGGCAUGGAUAGGCCAGAGAUGUGCCCGCGCCUGAAAUUCUCAUUUGAAAAUUAGUGUCUGCAUUACUGAAAAGGACAUCCUUCUAAUAACAACACAAGCAGAAAUGUGGCGUGGAUGUAAGAGCAGAGUCAUUAUCUUCAUCAUUGUGCCCUGAAAGUUCACUCCUUAUUUUGAAAAUGGUAUUCGUGCAGAAGAGCAUGAUGUAUGGAGAAAACCAACUUCAACGUUGCUAUGCCUGCUCAAGAACUAAAGAUUGGAGGAUGGCCGAUGAUGUGGUAAUACCACUGGACUAGUGAUCCAGAGACCAGACUAUUGGGAAUGACAGAGCAACUGGUAGAAGCAAAUUUGAUUAAUAAAACCUAGGAUUAAUAGCAGGUCUCAGAAUUAUGACUGACAACUAUCAUUGAUCUUUAUUUUUGAAAAAACAUCCAAUUCACCUGUGUCCUUCAGGAAGGAAGUCCUCCAUCUUUAACUGGACUGGCCUACAUGCAACUCAGAAUCACAGUAAAGACAUCGACUGUCUUCUGAAAUAGUGUGGCGAGUCACACGGUUCAAGGCAUAUUAUCCGUGAAAUUUUGUUUUCAUUUUAAAAGUUUCUGGAAAUUUAUAUUUUUUGUACUUUGAUGUGAACAGCUUAGACAUUGGAUUUUGGAAGAAUAAUGGAUCUUUAAAGCUAGAAUUUGUGAUCCUACCUGAAAUAAUGCACUUUCCUUUUGGCUCUGUUUUAUCUAUUGUAUCUACUUGUUCAGAAUAAAGAAUUUACUGCAAACAUUUUUCUUAGUGAUGUAGUAAUCAAUCUUGUAAACAUCUUUAAAAUUCAAUAUUUUAGAAGCUGUUACCUGAAGCAUACAAAUAAACCUUUUAAUGUCAAUUUUUACGGAACACUUUCGCGAUAUAAUGUCUGUAAAGAAAUGUUAAGGCAUUUAAAAAUAAAAUGUCACAAUUGGCCUUCCAA